CCUACGGGUGGCAGCAGUGAGGAAUAUUGGUCAAUGGACGAGAGUCUGAACCAGCCAAGUAGCGUGAAGGAUGACUGCCCUAUGGGUUGUAAACUUCUUUUAUAUGGGAAUAAAAUGUUCCACGUGUGGGAUUUUGUAUGUACCAUAUGAAUAAGGAUCGGCUAACUCAGUGCCAGCAGCCGCGGUAAUACGGAGUAUCCGAGCGUUAUCCGGAUUUAUUGGGUUUAAAGGGAGCGUAGGUGGAUUGUUAAGUCAGUUGUGAAAGUUUGCGGCUCAACCGUAAAAUUGCAGUUGAAACUGGCAGUCUUGAGGACAGUAGAGGUGGGCGGAAUUCGUGGUGUAGCGGUGAAAUGCUUAGAGAUCACGAAGAACUCCGAUUGCGAAGGCAGUUCACUGGACUGCAACUGACACUGAGGCUCGAAAGUGUGGGUAUCAAACAGGAUUAGAUACCCCUGUAGUC
rnacentral:rRNA from 1 species